AUAAACCCUCAGAGAGUCACC
rnacentral:miRNA from 1 species